rnacentral:rRNA from 1 species
GCCUUCUAGUGGGGGAUAGCCCGGAGAAAUCCGGAUUAAUACCGCAUACGCCCUACGGGGAAAGCCGGGGAUCUUCGGACCUGGCGCUAGUAGAUGAGCCCGCGUGAGAUUAGCUUGUUGGUGGGGUAAUGGCCUACCAAGGCAACGAUCUCUAGCUGGUCUGAGAGGACGAUCAGCCACACUGGGACUGAGACACGGCCCAGACUCCUACGGGAGGCAGCAGUGGGGAAUAUUGGACAAUGGGCGAAAGCCUGAUCCAGCAAUGCCGCGUGUGUGAAGAAGGCCUGAGGGUUGUAAAGCACUUUCAAUCGUGAAGAAAAGUUGCAGGCUAAUACCCUGUGACCUUGACGUUAACGAUACAAGAAGCACCGGCUAACUCCGUG